AAUAUGGUGCCUGAUUAAAAGGAUAGCACUGAUACAGCUAAUAAUGUAAGACUCUUUACCCAUAUUA
rnacentral:tRNA from 1 species